rnacentral:tRNA from 1 species
UUUAUUAAAAAAUUAAUCACAAAUAAAAGUUAAUGAGCUGAAUA